GGGAGUUGACCCAGAUUAAGGCCUGGUCGUAUACUGCAUCAUGGAGACUCUGCAGCUCCUUCUCUGCCACAACCUCCACCUUUACAGAACAAGAAAUGCAUUUAUUAGCACAACAAGAUACACUAAUACAGGCUUUACUCACCCUUUGAGGUUAUCGCUGAGGCACAUUCCAAACUGCUUGGUACCCAUCUCCAUACACCUGCGGAUCAUCAGCCGGUAGCAGGGCUCAAAGAUGUGAAGAGGACAUGGAACGGUGGGGAAGGCCAUGGUGCAAACAAAUAUAGGCACGUUCUUGUUUAGGCUGCAAAAGAAAGAUACUCUUCCAGCUCCAUCUUGCAGAGGGGACACUUGGGGUUGUGGUCCAGGCAUCGCUCGAGGCAUUUCAGACAAAAGGUGUGGCCGCAAGGAGUGGUGACUGGUUCAUAAAAGAGCCUAGGGUUUACCAUGGAGAUAAAGA